UGUAAUACGCUUUGUAAUAGUGGUCGUUAUAUAAUAGAGUUUCAUUGGCACAGAAAUGAUUCAUCGGAAGAAUCCGUGGGUCUUCUAAUAUCAAUAGUGUUGAUUAUUUCGCUCUUGUAUCUUCCCAAAGGAGAAAGAUCUUUGAUAGUUCGUAUCCAAAUCCGAAAAAGAGUAUUUGGUUUUCCCAAUUACUAAAAAGAUGGUAUUUUUUGUCAAUGUAUGCAUAGUCUG
rnacentral:misc_RNA from 1 species